rnacentral:rRNA from 1 species
AUUGAACGCUGGCGGCAUGCCUUACACAUGCAAGUCGAACGGCAGCGGGGGAGAAGCUUGCUUUUCCUGCCGGCGAGUGGCGAACGGGUGAGUAAUACAUCGGAACGUGCCCUGUAGUGGGGGAUAACUAGUCGAAAGAUUAGCUAAUACCGCAUACGACCUGAGGGUGAAAGUGGGGGACCGCAAGGCCUCAUGCUAUAGGAGCGGCCGAUGUCUGAUUAGCGAGUUGGUGGGGUAAAGGCCUACCAAGGGGACGAUCAGUAGCUGGUCUGAGAGGACGAUCAGCCACACUGGGACUGAGACACGGCCCAGACUCCUACGGGAGGCAGCAGUGGGGAAUUUUGGACAAUGGGCGAAAGCCUGAUUCAGCAAUGCCGCGUGUGUGAAGAAGGCCUUCGGGUUGUAAAGCACUUUUGUCCGGAAAGAAAUGGCUCUGGUUAAUACCUGGGGUCGAUGACGGUACCGGAAGAAUAAGGACCGGCUAACUACGUGCCAGCAGCCGCAGUAA